rnacentral:rRNA from 1 species
AUGGAGGGGAUGGUGGUGAGCGCCGUGACAGGGGCCAUGAGAACGCUGCUGCCCAAGCUCGCCGCCUUGCUGGCGAGCAAGUACAAGCUGUCCAGGGGCCUGUCCCGGACGGCGGAGCUCGACGAGCAGCAGAGGGACUGGCGUGACAAGGUGCGUGAGCUCUCCUACGACAUGGAGGACUGCGUCGACAUCUUCACCCACGACCUCAACGGCGGCCAUGGCGGCAAGGCCUGGCUUAAGCGCAGGCUCAGGAAGAUCAAGACGCGCCACGAGAUCGCGAGCCGCAUCGAGGAACUCAAGGCUCGAGCGCUAGAAGUAAGCAACUGCCACCAUAGGUAUAAGACUGAUGAGUGUGUUGGUUCCCCUGACUGCAUUCCUCCUCCUCGGGGCCUGGUCGCUAUUGACCCUCGAAUGGAGGCACUCUAUGUAGAUGCCAACAGCCUUGUGGGCAUGGAUGGCCCAAAGGAGAAGCUCAUCAAGCUGCUCAGUCAGGAGCAGGUGGGUGGAAAUCGCCUAAAAGUGGUGGCUGUUGUUGGAUCUGGGGGUAUGGGCAAGACAACUCUCGCCCACCAAGUUUAUACUAAGAUCAAAAGCCAAUUUGAUGCCAAGGCUUUCAUAACGGUGUCUCCAAAUCCCAGUACUGUGGAGGCUCUGUCAGAUAUAUUGCAAGGAUUUCAGGGCUGGGUGUCCUCUAGCCUGAAUGAUGAACGCAAACUCAUCGAGGAACUCCGGAAGUACCUCAAAGAGAAAAGAUACCUUAUCGUGCUGGAUGAUAUCUGGGCAAUCAACGCAUGGAACACUAUUAAAGGUUCUUUUGUGGAGAAUAAUCUUGGUAGCAGAGUUAUAACAACUACACAAAUUGAAGAUGUUGCUAAGGCAUGCUGCUCUUGUUUUCAUGGGCAUGUCUAUAGGAUCAGACCUCUUAGUGAUCUUGACUCAAGGAGAUUAUUUUAUAGAAGGGUAUUUUAUUCUGAUGGUGUAUGUCCCGAGCAACUAAAGAAUUUUGCCGAUGAAAUAUUGAAGAAAUGUGAUGGUGUUCCAUUAGCUAUUCUCAGUGUAGCCAGCUGUUUGUCUAGUCAUGAAGAGGUAAACUCAAAGGAAACAUGGGAGAAGAUGCAAAAUCAUUUUGGUUUUCCAUUGGAAGGACACCCUGCAUUAGAAUGGAUGAGGCAUGUGCUUACGCUUGGCUACAAUGAUUUGUCUUUGGAACUUAAGACAUGUUUGUUGUAUCUUGGUAUAUUCCCGAAGGCUUAUAAAAUAAAGAAGGAAGAUUUGGUGAAGAGAUGGAUUUCCGAGGGUUUUAUUACUGAAAAGCAUGGUUAUAGCCAUCAGGAGAUUGCCAAAAGCUACUUUAGUGAGCUCAUCAACAGAAACAUGAUCCAAAUAGCCGAGUACGAUGACUGUGGGCAUGUGCUGUCGUGUAGAGUGCAUGAUCUAAUGCUUGACUUUAUCAUACUGAAAUCCACGGAAGAAAACUUUAUCACUGUAAUCAAGGAACCACCUACAGUUAAUGGUGCACACAACAUGAAAGGCCAUUUCGAAUUCCGCCGGCUAUCCCUCCAAGUUGGUAAUUCAGAAUGCACUCAGGUUCUGGAUAACACCGCUCUCACCCAAGCUAGGUCUUUGAACUUUUGGGGUGAACCAGAAUGUAUGCCUUGUCUCUCAAGUUUUCAACUUCUGCGAGUUCUGCAUCUUUAUGCUCGCGGCGACGAAUAUCAACACUAUGAUCUAUCUCCCAUAUGCAACUUUUUCCAACUGAGUUAUUUGAAGAUUGGAGGUGUGCAUUGUGAGAAACAGCUAAGAGAAUUGCAUAAGUUACAACAUUUGAAGACAUUGGAGCUAGCUAGUGGUGUAGGGUCUUUUCGGCUAGAUGUCAGCAUAUUACCCUCGACGCUGUGCCACCUGAUUGUUCCGACUAGUGUGGAACUGUUUGGUGAGAUCGGCAGGAUGAAAGCCCUUUGUACUUUGGUUGGAUUUUCCAUACUUAGUCGAGAUGUGAAGAGCAUGAAGGCCCUGGGUGGUCUGAGCAAUCUGAGUGAGCUAGAGCUAUAUCUUCAAGGGCCUUUUGUUCCUGAUUCUGAUUCUAAUUAUGAUUCUGUUUAUGAUGCUCUACUCCUCUCCCUCAGCAGACUUGGCAGGCUUCAAUCCAUAACCUUCCACGGUCUCGCAAGAUAUACUUACCUGACGAAGUAUGUCUUAACUUGUUGGUCCGCUCCACCGCCAAGCAAUCUUCAUAGAUUACAUGCGCAGGGCUUCACCUUCUCUAUCGUCCCAGACUGGGUUGCACAACUCAACCAACUCAGAAGCCUGAAAAUUGAAGUUCAGUCACUGCUGAGAGAUGGUGUGGAGGUUCUGGCCAGGCUGACCAUGCUGGUGCACCUUACAUUAUUUGUUAGGGAGCAUGUUCCCCUGGAAGGCUUAGUCAUCCGAGGUGGAGCAUUUCCAAACCUGAAAGAACUUUGGUUCAGGCAUAAAGUGCCUUUCCUCAUGUUCGAGGCAGGGGCCAUGCCCAGGGUUCAGAGCCUCACUAUAGAGUGUUAUGCACAAGCAGAGCGGCAAGGUGAUGAUAGUGUACUUGAUGGCAUCGAGCAUCUGGGAAGCCUAGAGACAUUCAAGGUGUACAUUUGUAACCAGGAGAAUUUCAGCAUGUUGUAUCCAUUGACAUUGAAUCUUUCCAAGAAGCCGCACGUGGAAGAUAUUCAACGGUGGGACAAACAUAGUAUUGAGGCAAUGCUGAGGAAGGCGAUCAACAAGCAUCCAGGGAAUCCACAUGUUAGCAUUGAACUUGUGUAG